CUUCAAAUCGAAAGUAUUUCGAAAAACCCUUUUAGGAUGAUAUUAUCAUUACUAAAAAGAAUAAUUUAAGCCAAUAAAUUCUUGUUUUAACCAAGAUUAUGCCCUUAAAUUCGCAGCUAAGAGGAUUGGAAGAAGAGGACGCUAAAUUGCGUACAAAUUUUUAAUUAAUGUUUCUUUCCUUGCUUACCUUCAAUGCAAACAACAUGAUCCCUUAUAGAUUGGGCAAUCUGGGCAUCGGAAAGUGGUA